rnacentral:rRNA from 1 species
AUGUCAACAUGAGCCAAUCUAGGAUUACAAAAUAGAGCCUCUCCAUUAAUAGAACAAUUAACUUUUUUUCAUGACCAUACAUUAUUAAUUUUAGUAAUAAUUACAAUUAUAGUAGGCUACCUAAUAUUUAUAUUAUUUUUUAAUAGUUAUACUAAUCGAUUCUUAUUACACGGACAAAUUAUUGAAAUAAUCUGAACAAUUCUACCAGCUAUUAUUCUUUUAUUCAUCGCUUUCCCAUCUCUGCGAUUAUUAUACUUAUUAGAUGAAAUUAGUGAACCAGUAAUUACAUUAAAAACCAUUGGUCAUCAAUGAUACUGAAGCUAUGAAUAUUCAGAUUUUAUUGACUUAGAAUUUGAUUCUUAUAUAAUCCCGACUAAUGACCUCGCAACAGAUGGCUUUCGCCUAUUAGAUGUAGAUAACCGAGUAGUCCUUCCAAUAAAUACCCAGGUUCGUGUAUUAGUAACUGCUGCCGACGUAAUUCAUUCUUGAACUGUUCCAUCACUCGGUGUAAAAGUAGACGGAACCCCUGGACGAUUAAAUCAAACUAACUUCAUAAUUAGACGCCCAGGUUUAUUUUUUGGACAAUGCUCAGAAAUUUGUGGAGCUAACCACAGUUUUAUACCAAUUGUAAUUGAAAGUAUUUACACAAGACAUUUUAUUAAAUGAAUUUCU